UUGGUAGCUCAGCUGGUAGAGCAGAGGACUGAAAAUCCUUGUGUCGCUGGUUCGAUUCCUGUCU
rnacentral:tRNA from 1 species